CAAAUUUGAAAUCCAGAAAAUUACAACGGCUUUACUACAACCCAUAUAAAAUAAUUUAAAGGUAAUAAUCAAAACUGUAACAUAAACAGUGUGUGUGGCUUCCUCCGAGCCCCUAGCAACCCCGAUCCAUCUAAGGCUGGAAAUUACCUGAAAGGUUAAUAAACGGGGUGAGUUUAUGAAAACUCAGUGUGAAAUCCCCUACUAUAAAAAGGAACAGUCAGUCAUCUAAAAGAAUUAAAAGUCUGGCCCCAGCCUUAUUUACAAUUUCAGUACCAAUCGGGUCUUAGCCCAUUACAACAGACAGUACCAGAUGGACCUUAGCCUAUUACAGAAUAAGAAACAUUAUCAGAAUUGGAACCAAAAUGAGAAUCAGAAUCAGAAUCAGUAACAGAAUCAGAAUCAGAAUCAAUAUUAGUAACAGAAUCAGAAUCAGAAUCAGUAACAGAAUCAGAAUCAGAAUCAGUAUUAGGUGACAGAAUCAGAAUCAGAAUAUGAAUGCAGUCCCAACCCAAUCCAGCCGUAUACACCCCCGUACCAACCUUACACCAUGUGGGGAGACAACUCGACCCACCCAUCCGCUACACACCACAGAAUUUGCAACAUGGCUGCCAGAACAGAUAUCGUGACAGAGUCACCAGAUACAGAUAUUGUGGCAGAGCCACCAGAAUCAGAUAAUGUGGCAAACCCACCUAACAGAAUACGUGGCACAAAGCCAUAGAUAACUGUAAUAACUUUGGCACAUAGCCAUCAGUGACGGUAAUAUAACUAGCGCACAGCCUUCGAUAAAUAUGAUCGACACAGAGUCGUCAACAAAUAUGUUAGGCACAUAGCUAUAGGUAAAUACGUUUGGCACGAAGCCAUAGUCAAGAUGGCACAAAGCCAUAUUUAGGUUGGCACAGAGCCAUUAAUAACGGGUCUAUAAUCGGCACGAAGCCCACAACAACGGCACACAGCCUUCGGUAGCGUGAUCGGCACUUAGCCAUCGACCGGUCAACAGAUAUCGUGACAGAGUCACCAGAUACAGAUAUUGUGGCAGAGCCACCAGAACAGAUAAUGUGGCAAACCCACCUAACAGAAUACGUGGCACAAAGCCAUAGAAAACUGUAAUAACUUUGGCACAUAGCCAUCAGUGACGGUAAUAUAACUGGAGCACAGCCUUCGGUAAAUAUGAUCGACACAGAGUCGUCAACAAAUAUGUUAGGCACAUAGCUACAGGUAAAUACGUUUGGCACGAAGCCAUAGUCAAGAUGGCACAAAGCCAUAUUUAGGUUGGCACAGAGCCAUUAAUAACGGGUCUAUAAUCGGCACGAAGCCCACAACAACGGCACACAGCCUUCGGUAGCGUGAUCGGCACUUAGCCAUCGAUCGGUCAACAGAUAUUGUGACAGAGUCACCAAAUACAGAUAUUGUGGCAGAGCCACCAGAACAGAUAUUUGUGGCAUAGCCACCAGAACGCUUCCUCCGUACAAAAUCCCAACCCAUGCAACAUGUCAUGUAUACAGAAUGUCAUGCCCAUAUUUGAAUCAAACAAUCACAGUCAAGUCAUUCAUAUCACCAACAUAUAUUCACAAUCAAAUCUGUCAAACACACAGUCCAAGUCAGUCACUUGCCCACAAGGGCAAAACAGUCAUUUAACACCCUAGGGGCAAAAUGGUAAUUUUACCCCAUAAGGGUAUCUCGGUAAUUCUACCCUACAGGGGUAUUUCGGUAUUUCUACCCUACAAGGGUAUUUUGAUAAUUCUACCCUACAAGGUUAUUUUGGUAAUUCUAUCCUAUAAGGGUAUUUUAGUAAUUCUACCCUAUAGGGGUAUUUCGGAAAUUCUACCCUACAGGGGUAUUUCAGUAAUUUCACAAUCGAGGGUAAAAUGGUAAUUCUGUAAAUUGAGGGUAAAAUGAUAAUUUUGUAAAUUGAGGGUAAACUAGUAAUUCUAUAAAUCAAGGGUAAAAUGGUAAUUUUACAAAUCGAGGGUAAAACAGUAAUUCUAUAAAUCGAGGGUAAAACAGUAAUUCUAUAAACUGAGGGUAAAACGAUAAUUCUGUAAAUCGAGGGUAAAACAGUAAUUCUGUAAACUGAGGGUAAAAUAGUAAUUCUGUAAAUCGAGGGUAAAACGAUAAUUUUACAAAUCGAGGGUAAAAUGGUAAUUUUAUAAAUCGAGGGUAAAAUAGUAAUUCUAUAAACUGAGGGUAAAACGGUAAUUCUAUAAAUUGAGGGUAAAACGAUAAUUUUACAAAUUAAGGGUAAAACAGUAAUUCUAUAAAUCGAGGGUAAAAUAGUAAUUCUAUAAACUGAGGGUAAAACGAUAAUUCUAUAAAUCGAGGGUAAAACAGUAAUUUUAUAAAUCGAGGGUAAAAUAGUAAUUCUAUAAAUCGAGGGUAAAAUAGUAAUUCUAUAAAUCAAGGGUAAAAUAGUAAUUUUGUAAAUCGAGGGUAAAACAGUAAUUCUGUAAAUCGAGGGUAAAAUAGUAAUUCUGUAAAUCGAUGGUAAAAUGGUAAUUCUGUAAAUCGAGGGUAAAAUAGUAAUUCUAUAAAUCGAGGAUAUUUGGGUAAUUUUAUAAAUCGGGGGUACUUUGGUAAUUUUACAAGUCGAGGGCAUUUCAGUAAUUGGUAAACUAAAGUAUUCUAAACAUGGAUAAUAAUACGAAUGGGCCUAAAGCUUAUUCUCGGCCCAAAUGGGCCCACACGCUCGUGUGGCCCUUUUAGCCCAAACCUAGCCACAGAUAUACGAUUCACCUAACCUAGUCCAAUAUUUACUACACAAUCAAACAACUUAUCCAAUUGGGCCCGUAGGCCCAUUGGGCCCAUAUGGCCCCUUUCGGCCCAUCGUGGCCCAAUGUAGCCAUCCUAUAGCUAGAGUAGUGAGAAAUACACACCUGAUUGGAGACUAGAGUCAAUCCAUGCUCCGAGCACUUUUAGCCGACGCUCAACCCAAAUGAGCACGCCAUAAAGCGAAAGGGAUCAG
rnacentral:lncRNA from 1 species